rnacentral:rRNA from 1 species
UCCUGCCUGCCCAGUGAUAGAUUUUAACGGCCGCGGUAUCAUGACCGUGCAAAGGUAGCGUAAUCACUUGUCUUUUAAAUAAAGACCUGUAUGAAAGGCAAAACGAAAAUUCAACUGUCUCUUUAAUCCAAUCAGUAAAAUUAAUCUCUCCGUGCAGAAGCGGAGAUAUUUUUAUAAGACGAGAAGACCCUAUGGAGCUUUAAACAUAAAAUUAACUCCACCCACACCCUUAACCAACAGGUAAAAAGUACAGAUAUGUAGCCAUAAUUUAAGUUUUCGGUUGGGGCGACCACGGAAGAAAGAAAAUCCUCCGCGAUAAACAGCUUAGAACAACACUUCAAAGACUAAAACAUUUGUUAUAAAUGACCCACUAAGUGAUCAACGAACCAAGUUACCCUAGGGAUAACAGCGCAAUCCUUUCUAAGAGUCCAUAUCGACGAAUGGGUUUACGACCUCGAUGUUGGAUCAGGACACCCAAAUGGUGCAGCCGCUAUUAAAGGUUCGUUUGUUCAACGAUUAAAGUCCUACGUGAUCUG